AUUGAACGCUGGCGGCAUGCCUUACACAUGCAAGUCGAACGGCAGCACGGGGCAACCUGGUGGCGAGUGGCGAACGGGUGAGUAAAGCAUCGGAACGUGCCCUGGAGUGGGGGAUAACGUAGCGAAAGUUACGCUAAUACCGCAUAUUCUGUGAGCAGGAAAGCAGGGGAUCGCAAGACCUUGCGCUCUGGGAGCGGCCGAUGUCGGAUUAGCUAGUUGGUGGGUAAAGGCCUACCAAGGCGACGAUCCGUAGCGGGUCUGAGAGGAUGAUCCGCCACACUGGGACUGAGACACGGCCCAGACUCCUACGGGAGGCAGCAGUGGGGAAUAUUGGACAAUGGGCGCAAGCCUGAUCCAGCCAUGCCGCGUGAGUGAAGAAGGCCCUCGGGUUGUAAAGCUCUUUUGUCCGGAAAGAAAGCGCCGGGUUAAUACCCUGGUGUCCUGACGGUACCGGAAGAAUAAGCACCGGCUAACUACGUGCCAGCAGCCGCGGUAAAG
rnacentral:rRNA from 1 species